rnacentral:rRNA from 1 species
UAUUGCCCAAUGGAGGCAACUCUGACGCAGUGACGCCGCGUAUAGGAAGAAGGUUUUCGGAUUGUAAACUAUUGUCCUCAGGGAAGAANAAAGACUGUACCUGAGAAGGAAGCCACGGCUAACUACGUGCCAGCAGCCGCGGUAAUACGUAGGGAGCAAGCGUUAUCCGGAAUUAUUGGGUGUAAAGGGUGCGUAGACGGGAUAACAAGUUGGUUGUGAAACCCCUCGGCUCAACUGAGGAACUGCAACCAAAAAUAUUAUUCUUGAGUGCAGGAGAGGAAAGUGGAAUUCCUAGUGUAGCGGUGAAAUGCGUAGAUAUUAGGAAGAACACCGUUGGCGAAGGCGACUUUCUGGACUGUAACUGACGUUGAGGCACGAAAGUGUGGGGAGCAAACAGG